UGCCUUACCUGCAAGUCGAACGGUAACAGGUCUUCGGACGCUGACGAGUGGCGAACGGGUGAGUAAUACAUCGGAACGUGCCCAGUCGUGGGGGAUAACUACUCGAAAGAGUAGCUAAUACCGCAUACGAUCUGAGGAUGAAAGCGGGGGACCUUCGGGCCUCGCGCGAUUGGAGCGGCCGAUGGCAGAUUAGGUAGUUGGUGGGAUAAAAGCUUACCAAGCCGACGAUCUGUAGCUGGUCUGAGAGGACGACCAGCCACACUGGGACUGAGACACGGCCCAGACUCCUACGGGAGGCAGCAGUGGGGAAUUUUGGACAAUGGGCGAAAGCCUGAUCCAGCAAUGCCGCGUGCAGGAUGAAGGCCUUCGGGUUGUAAACUGCUUUUGUACGGAACGAAAAAGCUUCCCCAAAUACGAGAGGCCCAUGACGGUACCGUAAGAAUAAGCACCGGCUAACUACGUGCCAGCAGCCGCGGUAAUACGUAGGGUGCGAGCGUUAAUCGGAAUUACUGGCGUAAAGCGUGCGCAGGCGGUUAUGUAAGGCAGAUGUGAAAUCCCCGGGCUCAACCUGGGAACUGCAUUUGUGACUGCAUGGCUAGAGUACGGUAGAGGGGGAUGGAAUUCCGCGUGUAGCAGUGAAAUGCGUAGAUAUGCGGAGGAACACCGAUGGCGAA
rnacentral:rRNA from 1 species